rnacentral:lncRNA from 13 species
AUAAAAUCACGUGAUCAAGUGAAUGUAAUCUUUUUUUCCAUUUGGUCUCUCUCUCCCCACUCUUUCUCUCUCUCUUUCUUUUUCUCUCUGUGUUUCUCUCACCGUCUGUGAAGGCAGGAAUAAUAAUUCAGCAUUUGUUCUGCUUUAGAAGUAUUACAGGUAUAUAGCAGCUACAGAUGUGAUUGCCGCAUUGGAGGGCUGAUUCUGAACAGGAUCUAGGCAUUGUCAUGUCUUGGACUAUCAUUAAUAUGAAGACUGUUAUAUUAUCAAAUAAAUUCUCUAUGUGUAAUUAUUACGUGACUAAACUAAUCAUGUAAACAUGAAUUAACUAGGAAGUCGGGGCACCAUGGGAAAAUGUUGUUUAAAGAGUUACUGUUUCCCGAAUUUAACUGUUCAAAUAUUUUCACAUCUUAUCGAUUACAGUCACUUAUUAAUGUAUUAUUACCUCAUCAGUCAUAUUCUGAAUGUCGACAACUCUUGGAUAUCUGCACGUACCCGAGCAUAAAUGAUGAAUCUGCAAUAUACCAAUUGGCUUAAUUAUUUAUUUACCAACUAACUAAAUAAUCACACAGAAGUACAUAAACACAAACAGAAUAGGUUAUACCUUGGUUACUAACAUGAUACAAUGAAAUUUCCCUAGUGGACUAAACCGAUAUGAUGGCUUGUUUACAUCAAAUGAAAAGGGAGGGACAGGUAAGAAAGAGCGAGAGAAAAGACAAAGGACUCAGCUAUCAUACACACAGCUGAUAACUCAGCUCAUGGAAAUGGUAUUUGCACAUGAACAGCCGAUCAUUCGAAAGGAAUUUCAAUGUACUUAUUUACGAGUGUAUACGUCAGACGUAGGGAAACGUUCUCCAGAAUGGAUCUUUCAGAGUACCACCUGGUGGUUCUCGGUCGCGGCGUUGACUAGACUAAAGUACUUAAACAGCUGCAGACUGAAUGUUCCUGUGUAGUCUUCAGUUUUGUAGAUGUUUUAACCAUUUGUGACGUUGGUCCAUGGAGUAGUAGCCAUUUCAACGUGGGGACUCUUGUCCUUGCACUUUCUUGACUAAAUCUUCUUCUCUAUUGAAAGUUUCGGAGUUAUAGCCAUUGCGUCCCUCUCAGCUCACGCUGUUGGUCUCGUUGGCCUAAUGUAAAUUUUGUCGGAAAUGGGUUUUGUACACUCUGGAAAAAGGGGGCGUUCCAUGACGCCGAUGUAAUGUCUGUGUUCACGUGGGUGUGGCCACUGACUUGCUUAAGACUUCAUAUGAAAAACAAUUCUCUAAUUUAGAAGGCUAACAUCACAUCUUCUCAUAAAUAGUUUAAUAUUUAAUCAUGUACGUUCCACAAUAUUUAGAUGUAAGUCUGGUAACGGGGAACUAUACACAUUCAGAGAUACCGUUACGUUGUUCUACUGUCUUUAGUUACAUCACAAAUUACUAACAAAGUCGACAUGAUUGUUCUUUAAAUACCCACCCACGGACCAUUCCAAAUGUUUGGAAUACAGAAAUACUGUUGAAUUAUUCAACCUUUUGAUGUUACCAUGCUGCAACUUCUCUCUACGUGGUAACAAAGGGAUUUAACUUCCAUUUCUGAGAGUGGGAGAGAGAGUUUCCCUGCAGGUAUUUAUGACCAUCAUAAAACUGUGGAGAGAGAGGGGCACCUAUGAUUCCCCUAUAGGCUUUUUUUGUUUGUUAUCGG